GCAUGCACAUUCAUGCAUAUAAUAUUCAUAUACAUACACCCUACAGGUAAAGUACACACGCUGCAUGAAAUAUCAAUGUUGCAAAAACUUUUAUUCAUCAAAAUGCUGAACCCUCAGCCUUUUACUUAGAUGUUUAACAUUGCAGAGUUGAUCUGGAGAAUAACCACAGUGGAUUCUGUUACUUCCUGCUUUCCUAGCCGUCAGGUGCUCAUGCCAGGAUAGAUAAAAUGGUACCUGCAGUCAUGCUCAUAACAAAUACUUGGUGACAAAUACUUGUCACCAAAAAGCACAGAAAAAAUAUUAAUAGAUUUGGUGCUGCUUCUGAAUGGGAGCAUGAAUAGGACUACGCUCAAGCUGACGACGACCGGGGGGCGGGGGAUGUACUGACAUAGGAACACCACACACAGCCCCCAAGCCAAUGCCAUUGGUCACCCAUAACUGUACAACCACAGCCCUUGAAAGCCUGUACAAGACAUCCACAGAGCCUGCUGCAGUCACUGGCCGCAGGUAGAGGGCAAAAUGCUUUGAAUUCCACUGUGUCAGUGUUAUUAUUUUGACAAAAAUCAGCGGCUGACCCAAAGUCCCAUGAUCCUUUCACUGAUAUCGGUGAUGGCACGUAUUAUGUGAAAGACAGCCUACUUUUGGCAGCAAGCAGGCUGAGUAAUUUCUUGGCCACAAAAAGGCAUUUCUGGUUGUAAAAGAUAUGGCUGAAGCCAUACAGGGCCGUGAAGUGCUGGCAGAGCAAACUUAUGGGGGAAAACUACCCCCAAAAGACUACAAAAACCCCACAGCUGUAGUAAGGAAGAAGGUGAGCCCACAGAAGGUUGCCAUGAUUAUUGGUAAGGUUUUAGUCCUUUUGUACUGCAUUAUGUAUGCC
rnacentral:lncRNA from 1 species